CCCUUAGAUGUUCUGGGCCGCACGCGCGCUACACUGAUGCAUUCAACGAGUUUUUCCUGGUCCGAGAGGAAUGGGUAACCUUUUGAAAGUGCAUCGUGCUAGGGAUAGACUAUUGCAAUUAUUGGUCUUCAACGAGGAAUUCCUAGUAGACGUAGUUCAUCAGACUGCAUUGAUUACGUCCCUGCCCUUUGUACACACCGCCCGUCGCACCUACCGAUCGAAGGUAAUGAUGAGCCCUCAGGAUUGUGGCCUCGUCGCGUCAGCGUCUUGGCCGCGAGAAUCUGUGCAAAUCCCUACCUUUAGAGGAAGGUGAAGUCGUAACA
rnacentral:rRNA from 1 species